rnacentral:rRNA from 1 species
GACGAACGCUGGCGGCGUGCUUAACACAUGCAAGUCGAACGGAAAGGCCCUGCUUUUGUGGGGUGCUCGAGUGGCGAACGGGUGAGUAACACGCGAGUAACCUGCCCUUGACUUUGGGAUAACUUCAGGAAACUGGGGCUAAUACCGGAUAGGAGCUCCUGCUGCAUGGUGGGGGUUAGAAAGUUUCGGCGGUUGGGGAUGGACUCGCGGCUUAUCAGCUUGUUGGUGGGGUAGUGGCUUACCAAGGCUUUGACGGGUAGCCGGCCUGAGAGGGUGACCGGCCACAUUGGGACUGAGAUACGGCCCAGACUCCUACGGGAGGCAGCAGUGGGGAAUAUUGCACAAUGGGCGGAAGCCUGAUGCAGCAACGCCGCGUGCGGGAUGACGGCCUUCGGGUUGUAAACCGCUUUCGCCUGUGACGAAGCGUGAGUGACGGUAAUGGGUAAAGAAGCACCGGCUAACUACGUGCCAGCAGCCGCGGUGAUACGUAGGGUGCAAGCGUUGUCCGGAUUUAUUGGGCGUAAAGGGCUCGUAGGUGGUUGAUCGCGUCGGAAGUGUAAUCUUGGGGCUUAACCCUGAGCGUGCUUUCGAUACGGGUUGACUUGAGGAAGGUAGGGGAGAAUGGAAUUCCUGGUGGAGCGGUGGAAUGCGCAGAUAUCAGGAGGAACACCAGUGGCGAAGGCGGUUCUCUGGGCCUUUCCUGACGCUGAGGAGCGAAAGCGUGGGGAGCGAACAGGCUUAGAUACCCUGGUAGUCCACGCUGUAAACGGUGGGUACUAGGUGUGGGGUCCAUUCCACGGGUUCCGUGCCGUAGCUAACGCUUUAAGUACCCCGCCUGGGGAGUACGGCCGCAAGGCUAAAACUCAAAGGAAUUGACGGGGCCCCGCACAAGCGGCGGAGCAUGCGGAUUAAUUCGAUGCAACGCGUAGAACCUUACCUGGGUUUGACAUGGAUCGGGAGCGCUCAGAGAUGGGUGUGCCUCUUUUGGGGUCGGUUCACAGGUGGUGCAUGGCUGUCGUCAGCUCGUGUCGUGAGAUGUUGGGUUAAGUCCCGCAACGAGCGCAACCCUUGUUCACUGUUGCCAGCACGUUAUGGUGGGGACUCAGUGGAGACCGCCGGGGUCAACUCGGAGGAAGGUGGGGAUGACGUCAAGUCAUCAUGCCCCUUAUGUCCAGGGCUUCACGCAUGCUACAAUGGCUGGUACAGAGAGUGGCGAGCCUGUGAGGGUGAGCGAAUCUCGGAAAGCCGGUCUCAGUUCGGAUUGGGGUCUGCAACUCGACCUCAUGAAGUCGGAGUCGCUAGUAAUCGCAGAUCAGCAACGCUGCGGUGAAUACGUUCCCGGGGCU